CAAUCAAGUGAUGAGAAAAAAACUGCAACAAUAUGAUUGGAUUCAUUCCAUGAUUCUAUGUAUUUAAGUCUCUGAUGAAG